GGGGGUAUAGCUCAGUUGGUAGAGCGACGGUCUCCAAAACCGUAGGUCUGGGGUUCGAGUCCCUAUGCCCUCGCCA
rnacentral:tRNA from 1 species